GCUCGAAUUCGGCUUAUGGCUGACCUUUGUUUGAAUCUUUCCGGAUGAUUGCUUGAAUUGUCAAGUACUGUAUGUGAUCGUUGUUUUGUUGUGAGAAAGAAAACGAAUGGAAAAUAUGGUUUUUGAACAGAAUAUUUUAGCGUAAAAUGCCAUUUUCGCAUCAAUUUCUAGAAUUAUCUGUGGUAUGAAAAACGUAUGAAGAUGUCAGGCUUGAUUUCACCAGUCUACGUAUUAACUGUUGUCUGCUAUGUAGCUCUUCAGCCAAUCGCUGUCUCAGCUGAAAUAAUUCUUUCUAUGAAUAACGACAGUAGGACCGUACAGCUUUUAUCAUAUCCUUCAACAUUUGGUGCUAAACUACCCCAAAACGGACUGAAGGGAGUGAUAGUGAACGUGGAACCAAUUGAUGCGUGUACGGAAGUUAAACCAAUCCCAAACAACAAUCAAACAACCUUACCCUACAUUGCAUUAAUCAGGCGUAAUGGUUGCGAUUUUGAUGUCAAGGUAUUGAAUGCUCAAACAAAGCACUAUAUAGCUGCUAUUGUUUACAACGUUGAUUCAAACGCUGUCCUGCCAAUGAGCGCUGGUAAACAUGGAAAUGAAGUAUCUAUAUCAUCCGUGUUUGUUGGUGAAGAUAGUGGUCUUCUCCUAGCGAAAAAUAAUUAUACAACAGGGAGUACUGUCACUAUGUAUCCAUAUAUAUCUUAUCCUUCUCCCCUCUACUAUUUCGUACCCUUCCUAGCUGUGUGUGGUAUUUGUUUUUUAUUCCUGAUAAUUUACAUUAUUGCAAAAUUUUUACGUGACCGUCGGAAGUUGAGACGAUCUCGUCUGUCAAGGGAGCAUUUGAAGAAACUGCCAAUUAGAAAAUUCAGAAAAGGAGACAAUUAUGAUGUGUGCGCUAUUUGUCUGGAUGAAUAUGAAGAGGGUGCUAAGCUCAGAAUUUUACCUUGUAACCAUGCUUUUCAUUGCCCAUGCAUUGACCCAUGGCUGACCAAUAACAAACGCACAUGUCCUGUCUGCAAACGUAAGGUUCUUCCUAAUGAUGUUGAAGACGAUUCAUCCGAUAGUGAUGACAGCGAGAUUUCGAGCGAGAACACACCACUUUUAUUUGGUAACCGUGGUAGUAAUUACGGAAGACAACCCCCCAGUGACAAUGACCCAUUGGAGGGUACUUCAUCUCAUUAUUCAGCCGCUGAGGAUGAAGAAGGCACGGCAGGUACAUCAAUUUCAGACAGCACACUCACAAUCUCACUAGAGGUAGAGUCUGAUGAAGACUCUACGAAUAGCUAUGAGAUGCAAAAGAAACCAGAAACUGCAGACACUGAAGAAAAUGAAGGUAAUGCAGAAGGAGAAGGUCGAAGUUCAUAAGGUAGAGGGUUAAAGCCAUCAUUUUAGGAAAACUCUUUUGUAAAAAACAAAAUCUUAAAUUUUUGUAAUUAUGGCAAUCUUGUAUCAGUCAAUUUAAGAUCAUCAUCAUUAAUUUUAAUAUUAUUAAGAAUGACUGAUGUGUAAUAUAUGACACCACACUUAUUAAAUCUUGCUUGAUGUGCAUGAUGAAAUGUGAAGAAAUGUAUUCAGUGUACACCACACGUUUUACACGAAUUGUCUUAGCUUAGUGCCUUAGUAUUAUCACAUGUUCUUAAGAUUUUAAGUGCAUAUAUUCUUAUGCUAUAGUAUAAUUGCAUAAUUAGUUAGUUGUCAAAACAUGGACAAAUGGGAUGAUUGAAGAAGGGGUCCCAUUACUCGGCCAACCAGACAAUUAGUUGGCCUGGCCUAAUUUUAUCCUUUUGUGUUUAAAAAGUAUGAUGUGCCUGAUAUAACACUUUAAGGUUUGUAGUGAGGCUGUAUUGGUGGAUAACAUGCUUACCUUCCAGUUUCAUGGUGCUUAGUUGAAAUCCUUCAUAAAAAAAAACAGGAUUGUUUUUCGUCAACUUAGAGAUUCUCAUGGUUUUAUCAUUUGACUAUUCAUAACUACGUAUUGUGCAUAAACAGUAGCUUUAUAUUAAACAGUUAUUGAUAUAGGUUAUAGGAUGCUAUUGGCAGCAGAUCCAUUCAAUGGAUGGAAUACACAGAAUGUUUACAUGUUCAAGAUGCAUUUAAUGAUAGCAGUCAAUGGCAAUUCAUAUUUUAUACUGGGCUGAUAUACAUGGUGGUCAUCACUGGUGCCUUUGUGUCCCUUGUGACUUCAUUGAAUUCGACUCAAAUAGUUACAGUUUAGCGCAUUAUGUUGAUUUCCACCCAGGAUCUCUCCAUUACUUGGAAGUGAGUAAGCAACUAUGUAGAACAACGCGGUCUCCAACCUGGGGGUCCGCCAAGUCCAAAGGUCCAGCAAAAUAUUAUUGGGGUUCGCUAGAUUAUUACACUAAUAAUUAGUCCACCAACUGUUUGAUUGUGUACUUUUGUUGCAAAUUAAUUUCUAUAAUCUUACUGUGUAUCUACAUAUUAAUUAUGCUAAAGAUAUUAAAAGUGGUUCAGCAGCUGUAGCACCAUGAAUAUGACUGAAGUUGAGUAGUUCAAAUCCAUGCAUUGGUGCAAUCUUUGGAAUUUUAUGGUCAUGCAGUGUAAUGCUGAGGUGUUAUGUUUACAGCAUUAAUGCUGAAGGGGUUUUGAAGAUGGUUUAUUUGUGAAAGCCCCUUGCCUAUGAGUUGAACUGCAUACAGUAUGUUUUAGAUUACGUCGUAUUGUAUUAACAUAAGCUGCAUGAGGCAUGUAAUCUUUUUUUAAAUUUUUGCAUCUUGAAUACCAAUGGUCAUUUAAUUUAAACAUUGAUUUUGCAUCAUAACUAAUUAUGUUGUAGUAAUAGUGAAAAUAUUCAUUGCAAAUGACAAAGUGAUACUGCAAUAAUACUUAACAAUAUGUUGUAUAUCUUAAAAUGUAUAUUAACUAUAUUCUGGCCUUCAGAAAUAUUUCAAAUAUCUACAUUAAAACUUGUAUAAAUUCAACACUUAUAGCUCAAGAUUUGAAUUUUUAUAGAAGAGGGAAGUAAUUUUGGCUGAGGGUUUCUACCUUGAGGUCAAGGUUCACCCUGUGUAAAUAGUGCAUUUUGCUUGUAACCUCUUGACCUGUGAGACGACCCUAAAUACAUUGGCGCCUCGUACAGUUUAAUGUGGGAGGGGUUUGACCCCUUGUGCAUUUUGUUGUGUCAUUUGGUGGGCAAGGCACUUAACGUAAGCUCUGUCCAGAUUAUCACAUUUUCUUGACGAAAAACUGUUGUAUGCCAUAUAUAGUCAUGAUGUGCCUAUAUAUGGUCAUGAUGUGAUGUCAUCAUGACCAUAUUUAGGCAUGUCACAUGUUUGUGUCAAAUACAAUUGUUUGGUCUGAACAGGGCUUUUUGUUUGUCUGUCUCCACACACAGGAUUGAAAAUGGGUGCCUGAUAGGAUGUGGCACUCAUGGUUGUACCACAACCCAGAGUACUCCCUUAGAGAGCAGAUAAAAUUGUCCUUCAUGCUGCAUUACCGAUGGAUCCACUGACCAGAGAUAAUAAUAGGCCUUGUUUCGCAUAGCCUCGUCUGCCAGUGAUCUAAUGGUUCUUUUAAAAAUAAAAAUAGAGUUUUUUGUGCUCAUUACUAGCCACAAUA
rnacentral:misc_RNA from 1 species